rnacentral:lncRNA from 1 species
AACAGAACAUUUUUUCGCAUGUAUUUCACAGUUGAAUUCUCAGAUCAGCAGAAAAUUUACCUGAAAACUUAGCCUAUUAAGUUCUUCCAUCGCUAAGCGAAAGAUAGAUUGGGUUUAUCUUUUGACGUCAGAAUCAUGACACAAGGACGGAAACAAUCAAACCCAGAGCAAGAGGGCUUGAAAAGAGCAUUAAAUGAAGACGAUUUAAAAUUGGAUUUUCAACCCGAUCUAAGAUACCUCUGGAAAAUGCAUUCUGUUAUUUUAUGUUAAAUAACAGAAUACAAAUAAACGAGAAAGGACGUGCGAGACGCUUCUUACGCGGUACUCGAAGAGUAAAUAGGGUAUAUUGUAUUUGUGCAGGCGGGCCUAAUUUUUUAAAUACACUGGUUUCACGACUCGGGUAUUGAUGCUGAUGAAGAAUAUAUACACUUUAUGGGGUCGGAAACGUUUCCUUCUGUGUUUUACAUACAACCGUUAUUCCGCAAAAAUACAAUAUACCUUAUUUACUCUUCGAGUAAAGGGUAUAAAAAUAAAAUCACACACGAUAUACUUUUUUGGACUUUUCCUGAGUUUUUAAAGUCAAAAUUUCGUGAAACCCAUCAAUAACAAAACCACGAAG